CUUCUAUCUGUUUGAUAUGAAAUUCAGAGCCGACCUAGCACUUGGGUAGGGUGAGAGGGCUCGAGUAGGAAAGGGCUACCCGUGGAUGGAGUCGAGAACUCAUCACGGCGUGAAGCCACCACUGAGUUAAACCUCACAUGCACUAUGCUAGGGUCAGCUUGUCACUCUUUGAGGUGUUUGAAUUGGGCUGAGGCAGUGGAGAGCUAUUUUGAAUUAUGGGCAAGUCUUGUUGGUUAUUAUGUUAUUGUUGUAUAAGUAUAUUUUGUAUGUAAUGAAAUAUUGUCGAUGAAUCGAAAUGGAUAUACUGUGUAAAAGUGUUAGAAGAUCUCUCUUAUUUGAAAUUUCGGAAUGUUAAGUCCAGUUUACGAUGAUAUGAACUUGUGGUAAAUGGUUGGAGUUUUGAUUGUAUAAAUUACUUAGCUUGUGGAUUUAUAAAUGUUGUUCAUGUUUGUUAA